CAGCGAGCUCCCGAAGAAACCAGGGCGGCGGGGAGAGCGAGACCCGCGCCUCGGGCUCCAGGGAGGGAAAGAAAGCUACAGAAAGCCGGAGCGGGGCUGCACUUCACGCUGAAGUUUCCCUUUUGAAUCGUCUGGAGUUAUGGCCCCUAAAACCAAGCAGAUGACUUCAUCUGGUGUUCAACCAAAAGAAAAUGAUCUGUUCCAAGACUGAAGGAAAAAUUGGCAGUGUUGAACUUAUUAAGAAGCAGUAUGACUGCAGAUUCUACUUUAUGGACAAUAUAAGGCAUUUUCAAGAGGAAAGUUGAAUAUAUGGAAUUUUCUUCUUAAAUAGUGACUUGAAUACUUAACCACCACAGAAGAUGCAACUCCAUGACAAUCUGGCAACAGAGAAUCAAAGCAAAAUGGAAACAACACUGGAACAGAUGCAGAAGUCUAAUAAGAACGUCUUCUCGGACAAAGCUAUUUUAAUGAAAGCGACAUUCUGUGCAACCUCCCUGAUUCCUCCUCGUGUUCAACCACCCAAAUUAGAUUCACUUCAUUGGCUGUUUUCAUCAGGUUUCACAACACUGGGGACUAUCCAAAAGAAAUAAAAGUUACCUUUUUGGAUUCACUGGAAACGGUUUUAGCCAACAAGCUCUGACAGAGACAUAAUCUUAAUGUACCUGAACUCUAGAAAGCCAUGGUGAAAGCCAGGAAUUUGGACUGCAUUGUAAAAAGGAAGCACCAGCUUCAGGACCUAAAACACAUAGGGAGAUUUUUCUCAAGAAGAGAGUUGAGGGUGGUGGGGUGGAGGAAGACUCCAAAGUCACACAACAAAUGGUGAAGAUACAGGAAAGGGUGAAGAAUCAAGGCUCAAAAAUGCACCCUACCACAGGGUCCAGGGAUAUUACCAAAGGUCUGCAAGUUUAAACGGUAUUUUGAAAUUUGCAAUUCAGUGAGAAAAUAAAUAAUGUGACAUUGUGAUAAUGAAGUCACAGAACUUCA